UCCUGGCUCAGGAUGAACGCUAGCGGCAGGCUUAACACAUGCAAGUCGGGCGGCAGCGGGGUGGGAGCUUUCUCCCACUGCCGGCGAGCGGCGCACGGGUGAGUAACACGUAUGCAACCUGCCCCUGUCAGGGGGACAACCCGCCGAAAGGCGGGCUAAGCCCGCGUAUAUCGCCCCGGGGCAUCCCGGGGGGAGGAAAGGAGCGAUCCGGACAGGGAUGGGCAUGCGGCGCAUUAGCUGGUCGGCGGGGUAACGGCCCACCGAGGCGACGAUGCGUAGGGGUUCUGAGAGGAAGGCCCCCCACACUGGUACUGAGACACGGACCAGACUCCUACGGGAGGCAGCAGUGAGGAAUAUUGGUCAAUGGGCGGGAGCCUGAACCAGCCAAGCCGCGUGAGGGAAGAAGGUACAGCGUAUCGUAAACCUCUUUUGUCAGGGAACAAAGGCGGGGACUAGUCCCCGGAUGAGGGUACCUGAAGAAAAAGCAUCGGCUAACUCCGUGCCAGCAGCCGCGGUAAUACGGAGGAUGCGAGCGUUAUCCGGAUUUAUUGGGUUUAAAGGGUGCGCAGGCGGCCUGUUAAGUCAGCGGUAAAAGCCCGGGGCUCAACCCCGGCGAGCCGUUGAAACUGGCGGGCUGGAGUUGGAGAGAAGUACGCGGAAUGCGCGGUGUAGCGGUGAAAUGCUUAGAUAUCGCGCAGAACCCCGAUUGCGAAGGCAGCGUACCGGCUCCACACUGACGCUGAGGCACGAAAGCGUGGGUAUCGAACAGGAUUAGAUACCCUGGUAGUCCACGCAGUAAACGAUGAA
rnacentral:rRNA from 1 species